UAAAAAACUGAUAGGAACUGGUAGCUAGAGCUACAAAUUGAAAUGGCUAACGGUAGCUUGAUAAAUUGCUUGUGUAGUUCGCUAGCGGCUAGCAAACAAGCGAUAAAGUCUCAUCCAACAUUUAGCUAGCUAGCAAUCACCAGGUUCUUUUUAAAUUAAAAUAAUACAUAUGACGGGCUUACGUUGGCGAUGUGUCAGUUCAAACAAAGGCGGUGCAUUCCAGUGCAGUUCUUUUUACUUUAGCUAGCUAGGCAGGAUCUAAGACAACUAAUGUUAAUGUUAGCUCAACAGUAAGAAACAGAUAGCGACUACUCUUUUCGGGCCUUUCUGUUUGUAGUUUUAAAGAAAACUAGCUAGCUACCUGCUGUCACUCGCUCUGGAUUGCCUGGGCAGUUCCAUAACAAAAGCCACAUAGACCUACUAGUCUAGUCGUGGUUAGCAAGCUAACGCCGCUGUGGUUUCAUGGCGCACUCCGCUUGUAUUGUGAUAAAGCCGGUUAGCUAGCUAGUGAAGUCAUACUAACGAGUACUAGCAUGUUAGCUAGCCAGAAAGUCGGCAGUUGUGGUGAAAUAUUGCAAUAAUGAUUUAUUCUUUGGUGGAAGCGCGGGCGACGAAAUCGGCUAUCCGUUUGCAUUAUUGAUUUGCUAUUUAUUUACGUUUGCGUGCUUGACAGCAUCAUCAGUACAGGCGUUGUCAUAAAAUUUCUCCCGACGGUGAAGAAUGCCUUACUUGUUUACAUUCUGGACCGAUGUGGCUCCAGGGUAAAUCUAUCGCUUUACCGUCGCAGCACUUUCGACACAAGCAAUAUCGGAUGCACUAUGUGUUAACACGGCGACGCAAUUGCAUCGAGAAACACCAUGUUUGGGGGGGGGGGACGCUAUAUUCUGUAACUGCAUUUAUAUCAAACCUACCAUGCAUAAAAAUAUAAAACGCCCGUCAAUCACCCACUCAUCACCCAUCAUUGCGCGGAGUGUUUAAAAUCAUAAAACCACCCCCUUACCUAAAAUAACUGUUGGCUACACGUUCACUUGAAAUAGACCAACUAGUCUGACUUUUUCAACUUUGUGAUUAAACCUCCUCACGUUUUAGUUAAUAAAUCUUAAACGUAACUUAAACAUCCACUAAGCACUAGUGACUUGAUACUAGUUAAGUAUUUAGUAUAAUUUCUGCAGCCUACUUGGAAUUAUUGGUGCACUAAAGGUUGCAAAGACGUUUAAGUGUAAGCUUAAGUAUUUUUUCCUGAUGUGUAUACUCAUUCAAAAGUGAACCAAGUAGACUUUCUUAUUUUUAAAAAAGUAUGCUAUAUUAUUGUCCUUAUAAAACUUGAUAGGGUCCAUCUUGUCAAAGUUCGUUUCAGUCUAAAACUACUUAUUCAAGUAGUGCGAUAAUAGGACAGCACCUUAUUCCCAAAUUCCCCUCCUCCACCUUAUUCCCAAUUUCCCCUCCUCAGUCAGUGCACAUUUUUUUAAGAACCCCAAUCCUAUAGAAGAAUUCAUACAAUGCAUUAUGAUACAUACUCAGCUUGCUUAGACCGCAGUGGAUAUGCCUCUGUCCACCUUGUUUUGUGCUCAAUCAUGAAGCAUAUGUACAUAUUGCCUCUUGGAGUUAUCGUCAGUUUCCGUGCAAGAUCCUCUCUGACCAGUGCAAAUGUUUCAGACACCUGAGCUGUUCCAAAAGAUUUAGGAGUGGACAAUGACAUAUUGGUAACUUUAUAUAACAAGAGCCAUGAAUAGGCUACAUGAAGCUUACUUGAACUGGGAUGUUAUUUUUGUGUUGUUUGAUGUUCUUCUUCUGACACUGAGGGGAGUUCAGGAAUAAGGUGCUCUCCCAUUUCCAUGCAUUUUGAAUGAUUUCUCAAUAAUAACAUGUUGGCCUGUACAGACAGUUUCAUUAGCCCAAGAACAUGGCUGCGGCUCAGUUCACUUUUCUUAUGUACUAACUACGAAUACUCCCCUGAAUUACGCUUGAACUUCUUUACAGCUUUUAGUAGGCUACAUCAAGUAUACUCAUGUAGGCUCCAGAAAAUGAUACAAAAUUACUGAACUAGUAGGCUGUUAAGCCACUAGUUCUGACUGGAUGUUUAAGUUACUUUUGAGAUUUAUUAGGCUAACUAAAACAUGAGCCAGUUUAGUCCCAAAGUUGUCAAAGUCAGACUAGUGAGUCUAUAUUUAAAGUCCACAUGUAGCCUACAGUUCUCAUUUUCUUUUCCCUAUUUUUUCUAAGGGGGUGCAGCGCUGUAUGGUUUAAAACACUCCUCGCUAUAAUGGUAUGUUGUUGUUUGACUGCAGUGUUUUAUUUGAUUAUGUAUUUGAUAGUUGAUGUCACUGGCCAUAGCUAACAGUUAAGAUAGAAAAGAAAGACACCAAAUCCAAGCAAACCUUUGGCUUGACUUAGACUGAAAGUGAAGUGCACUCUGACCUAUGACCCACUGACCUGUGACAUGGAGGGCUGAGCAUGCGACCCUAUGAUACCUCUGUGCCAGAUUUGUCCUUACAGUGUCCAGGGAGUCCCACAUACAUGGUAUGAAUGUGUCUCCAGGUUUGACUCUGGGAGUCCAUUUUGUUAUGUCUUUGAAAUUCAGUUUUAGCCACAUAUCCCAGAUAAACCAAUUCAGCCAAAUUAAUGAUUAGAAGCAAAGACACAUUUUAUAUGAUGAAGUAAAGAGGACCUUAAGCUGUGGUGGUGUUUACUUACUAGGUGGUUUGGAUACACUAAUAAAGCCUAUAAGCUUUCCUGUUAGGACUGUGUGCUGGCUGGGUGUGGGGUAACAUACACGACGAUACCGCCAAAGUGAACAGGAUGGGAAGCCUGCAUGAAAUUGGGACCAUAGCUGUGUAUGUGUUUUAUGUGCUUACCUGUAGCUGAGAGUUAUUGGCUGGUGAGGAGGAGGUAUUUCCCAGUCACAAGACUCAAGGCAGGCAAACAGCAGUGUGUAAGCUGUACAGCCUGGCCCAGGAUCCAAGGAGGGGCUCAAGUGUCACUUUGUGUCCAUGCCAUUUCAGAGUCGGGCCAUCGGGAGGACCUGUUAACUACCGCACCCAUUGCAAAUGCAAGACUUCAGCUUCCUAAUGUACAUUCCAAUCACAAAGGAUUACCUAUCGUUUGUGUUAUGCCCUGACCAUUGCAUUCUCAUUAAUAGCUGUUUGGAAUGUUGGUGAUUUGUGAGUCUAGGCUUUUUCUUGGUGCACUAAUUGUAAGUCGCUCUGGAUAGUGUCAGCUAAAUGGCUAGAAUGUAAAUGUAAGCUAAGCCACCAAAAAUAAAGGCAAGCUAUUAACCAGAAAGCUUCAUCCUGUUAUGCAAUGGCUGUAAUCAGUGGCAGAGAGACCCAUCUAAAUGCGCUAAUUGUAACAGGUCUAAAUUUGUAAUGAAUAAAUGUGUGGGUUUGUCACUGUCGCAUUCAAUGGGCCUUUUUCUGGAGUGUUGCUGAGAAGUAGGCUACUACUGAGCACAUAGCUUGAGUAGUAAUACAACCCAUCUGUUGUGCACCACCCAACACAAACCACUUGCCUGCAUUGUGGGGGUCAAUUCAAAUUAACUGUAUGCUUUACUUUGUAAGCAGCACCAUUUUCUUUAUUUUAGAGCAGUUGUUUUCUGUAAUGCCCAGGUCUGUUUUUGCCUUGUCAGGUGCUUCUCUUAAUGCUAGAUGGCACUGCUAAAGACUAGAAACGAUCGGGGAACACGAUUGGUUGAUUUGCUUAAAAUAAAAUGCCCACCUCAGACAGGGAGAAAGUGGAGAGGAUCACAGAUAGAGAAGGGAUCACAGCUCAGAAGCCUCCAAGGCAGGGGAUCGAACCCCUGACCACGCAGGGGACUCGACUGCUUCAUGGACCACACAUCUCACUCAGACAGAGUUAUUUAUAUCUUAGCUAAUGAUUAGUGUUGAUUAAUAAACUGUACAGGGUUGGC